UCUGCAGGCUAUAAGUUUCAGAUGUGAGAAAGAAAGAGAAACUAUGUCAGUAAAAGAACACCGCUCGAAGAAAAAGUACUCUUACGUUAGGUUCCCUAAAUUCUAUGCGCUCGUAAGUCGCAGUGAGGGGAAAUUAGACAAGUAGAGAGAAUAAGAUGUAAAAUGAGAAGUAACCUAGUUUAUAAGUUACGUUAUAUAUUCUUGUCAUUGCCGUGAUCAUUAGUAUAUCUGCCCUUCCCAUUCGCAUGAUCCAUUCAUGACGUACUUUUUCGUAGGUGGACUAUAUAUAAACCUGUUUAUGUCUUCUUCUUGCUCUUCUGUAUCCCGCAAGACAUCGUAGAUGUAUAUAUAUAUCGUGUAUAUAAUUAUAUUUUCCUUUUGUUUGCACUUUAAUUUAUUGCUGCAAAGUGAAAAGAAGUACGUGUGAAAGUUUAUUUUCUCUCAGCACACGUAUAUUUUCAAAUAUCUGAAAACCUCUAAAUCAUCUCAUCUCAAAGAUGUGUUCAACGACAAUUAGGGGUAGUAUUUAUUUUAUUUUAUGCUUUACUGUGUUGUUUGGAACUGCAUUGGGCUUAUACGUAACAUCACCGCAUAUAAUCGUCUUCAUGGCCGAUGAUUUGGGAUGGGAUGACGUCGGUUUUCACGGUUCGGAUCAGAUACCGACUCCGAAUAUAGAUGCUUUGGCGUAUAAUGGAAUUAUAUUAAACAGGCAUUAUGUCUUACCAUCCAGCACACCUUCUAGAACUGCCUUUUUCACCGGACAAUAUCCAAUACGUUUGGGUAUGCAGGGAGCAGAUAUACAGGGUGGUGAACCCAGAGGAAUUCCUCUCAAAGUGAAGAUAUUACCAGAAUACUUACGAGAUUUGGGAUAUAUGACGAAACUGAUCGGAAAGUGGCAUGUGGGGUACUAUACAUCCCAACACACUCCCUUAAAUCGGGGUUUCGAUUCCUUCUUUGGCUUUUACAACAGUCAUAUUACGUAUUAUGAUUAUAAAUACUCGUUUCAGAACAUGAGUGGAUAUGAUAUGCAUCGUGGUGAUGCUCCAGCUUAUGUAUCAACUAAUAAAUAUGUAACUGAUCUUUUCACCGACGAAGCGGUCAGGAUCAUUCAGUAUCACGAGCCAUCUCAAUCGCUCUUUCUUCAAAUAUCGCAUCUUGCUGUUCACGCGCCUCUUGAGAAUCCACAUGAUUAUGACUACUACGAUAGACAGUUUAGGCACAUUCGGGAAAUAAAUCGCCGCAAGUAUGCUGGAAUGGUAUCGCGAUUAGAUAAUUCCGUUGGACGUGUCGUUCAGGCCUUAGGUAGCAGAGGGAUGUUAAAGGAUUCAUUGAUCCUUUUUUUAACUGAUAACGGUGCAGCAUCCAUUGGAAAAUUUCGCAAUUAUGGUUCUAAUUAUCCUUUACGAGGUAUGAAAUAUACGCUGUAUGAAGGAGGUGUGAGAGGAGUUGCUGUAUUAUGGUCACCAAGAUUACGUAAAACAGCACGUGUAUGCGAUGAUUUGAUGCACAUAACCGACUGGUUACCGACUCUAUAUACUGUCGCUGGUGGUGAUGUAAGGGACUUGGGAGAGAUCGACGGUGUCAAUCAAUGGUGCAUGUUAAAUAACAGUUUUCCGAGUGCCAGAGAUAGGCUAUUACUUAACAUCGAUGAGGUUUCUAAGACUGAGGGCGCCAUAUACAAACAAUUCAAGCUUCUUCGGGGGUCAAUCGAGGGUGGAUACUACGAUGGUUAUUAUCCAGAUAUCGAAAGAAUCAUGCCUAAUUAUCCCAGAAAGAGCCUACAAGAAGAAGCCUACAAAAACAUGCCGCCGUACACUGACACCGUUUUAAAGAGUGUGGUGUCACAGAGCAUCACUCGUCACCUGGGUGAUCCAGUCACUCAACCCAGCACGAUAAUUCAGUUGCGGCGCGAAGCAACUGUCAAUUGCCGACCUAGAGACAGUUUCAUUACAUGCAAUGUCACCGAGUGUCUUUUCGAUAUCAAUAAUGAUCCCUGCGAAACGAGGAACAUCGCCGAGCAAUAUUCAAGGAUCUCUCGGGAAUUGGAUAAAUACUUGGAACAUUACGGGCUUAUUAUUAAGAGACAGAUUAAGAUACCGGUAGACUGGCUGGCAGAUCCAAGAAGAACAAACAAUACGUGGGAGCCGUGGGGAUGGAACGACGUUAGCUUCCACGGCGCCGAUGAGAUUCCUACACCGAAUAUAGAUGCUCUCGCAUACAAUGGCGUGAUACUAAAUCGACAUUACGUAUUGCCAAUGUGCACACCAUCGAGAACAGCUUUUCUCACUGGAAAAUAUCCCAUAAGAACAGGUAUGCAAGGUUUCCCCUUGCGAGGAGCUGAACCACGUGGUAUACCUUUGAACAAUAUUCUCUUACCCGAGUAUCUUCGAAAAAUCGGAUAUGCCACUCAUUUGGUGGGAAAAUGGCAUGUUGGUUAUUAUACAAGGAAUUACGGUCCUACUCGUCGUGGUUUCGACACUUUUGUUGGGUAUUAUUCUGGUUACAUCGAAUAUUUCAAUCACUCACUCUACGAAAGUGAACAAUUGGGGUAUGAUUUGCAUCGUAUUGUGGGUGACAAUCACAAGAUUGAAUAUAGCUAUGACUAUAUGACUGAUCUUAUAACCGAUGAGGCUGAAAAUAUUAUUACGUCGCAUAAUCCUGCGAAACCUCUAUAUUUGCAAUUAGCACAUCUUGCACCCCAUUCUAGUGGAAUCGAAGAUGCAAUGCAAGUACGCAAUUGGACAGAAACAAAUAUUACUCUCGGUUAUAUCGAAGACAUAAAUAGAAGAAAAUACGCAAGUGUCGUUGCCACUUUAGAUGAAUCAGUCGGUCGGGUGAUCAAUGCUCUGCAGAGAACAGAUAUGCUGAAAAACUCGAUCAUCAUUUUUAUAGCCGACAAUGGAGCGCAAACUGAAGGACUAAUGCAAAAUUACGGAUCUAAUUAUCCACUUAGAGGGUUAAAAUUCAGUCUUUUCGAAGGCAGCAUUCGCGGCACGGCGUGCAUCUAUUCACCUUUGAUUGAUCAUCCCUCGAGAGUUUCUAUUCAAUUGUUUCACAUUACUGAUUGGUUGCCGACAUUAUAUUCCGCGGCUGGCGGUAAUCCGAAUGAUCUGAAACAAUUGGAUGGCAUUGAUCAGUGGUCCGAAAUCAAAAACGCGAGAGAUGGCAAACGGAAGUCAAUUCUUGUGAAUAUUGACGAGAAGAUUAAUAGUGAAGCAGCAUUAAUAGGAUCUUACAAACUUGUUAAAGAUAAGUCUGAGUACCAAAAGUAUUAUAAUUAUAGUGGUAAAAAUAUACUUUAUCCCAAAUACAAUGCAAUGAAAGUACUAACAUCGCCAGCUGCAUCAGCUAUCGCGAGUGUUUCAACUUUUGUGUUAAACGCAAAUAAAGUAAUGCAGCUGCGGGAAGAAGCCGCAGUAGUUUGCAAGAAUUUUACGGAUUUCCCCAAUUGUACAAAUCGCACCUGCUUGUUCAAUGUCUAUGAGGAUCCUUGUGAAACUACGGAUCUAUCUUCGAAAUAUCCUAAGGACGUGAAGAGAUUGAACAUGUUCAUCGAUCGCUAUAAAUCGGUCCUCAUGAACCAGACGAACGCACCCGUCGAUCCGGCUGGCUUUCCGAGUAACUUUAACAACACUUGGGUGCCCUGGUUGCCGGACGACUAUCAGUCGAUCAGCGAAAUGCAUUUCACGAUGAAUGAAAUGACGCCGUAACAACGCUUCAUUCGUCUUGGAUUAUGAAGUGGUUUACAUCGCUGCGGGUGAACUCGCCUGGUGGGUUCCGCGUGCAGAGGAACGAAGGAUAUAAGUCCAAGCCGAAACUUAACGACGUAAUGAACGUCUGACGGAGGAUUAUUUAUCGAUGGCAACGGGGCAGCGUAAGGGCCGGCCGAAGUACCUAAGGAGAAUAGGAAGGAAGACGAACGAUCGACACCGUGGACAAAAUUGGCGCGAGGAGACUCAAGUAGGAGGCGAAGUAGGAGGAAGUGAAGUAGAGUAGGAGGACUCCACCACCACCACCGGCUGGCAAAUCCUGCGGGACUGCUCCGACGGACACCUGUAAGCACGCAGACUCCCUGCCGAGCCGGACGCACGGUGCACGAGAAAGUUCGAAAUCGUCGCAGAUCCUGAAGGAUCCUGAGGCGUACUGUCGAUGCGUUUUUCACUCGCGAUUUCAACGAAAGUGAUGCCUGGUGUCUGUGCGCGUGUUUUACAUGCGGUCCUUUGCCUCAUCUAUUAAUUCACUGUUAAUCACGUUGUUCAAAACAAAUAAAGUUUUAUAUCUGAAGAUGA